rnacentral:tRNA from 1 species
GCCCGGAUGGCGGAAUUGGUAGACGCGCUGGUCUCAAACACCAGUAGGUUCACCCCUGUGCCGGUUCGACCCCGGCUCCGGGUACAA